AGUCAUAUGCUUGUCUCAAAGAUUAAGCCAUGCAUGUCUAAGUAUAAGCAAUUAUACAGCGAAACUGCGAAUGGCUCAUUAUAUAAGUUAUCGUUUAUUUGAUAGUACCUUACUACUUGGAUAACCGUGGUAAUUCUAGAGCUAAUACAUGCUAAAAAUCCCGACUCACGAAGGGAUGUAUUUAUUAGAUUAAAAACCAAUGCCCUCUGGGCUUCUUGGUGAUUCAUAAUAACUUCUCGAAUCGCAUGGCCUUGCGCCGGCGAUGGUUCAUUCAAAUUUCUUCCCUAUCAACUUUCGAUGUUUGGGUAUUGGCCAAACAUGGUCGCAACGGGUAACGGAGGGUUAGGGCUCGACCCCGGAGAAGGAGCCUGAGAAACGGCUACUACAUCCAAGGAAGGCAGCAGGCGCGCAAAUUACCCAAUCCCGAUUCGGGGAGGUAGUGACAAUAAAUACUGAUACAGGGCUCUUUUGGGUCUUGUAAUUGGAAUGAGUACAAUUUAAAUCUCUUAACGAGGAACAAUUGGAGGGCAAGUCUGGUGCCAGCAGCCGCGGUAAUUCCAGCUCCAAUAGCGUAUAUUAAAGUUGUUGUGGUUAAAAAGCUCGUAGUUGAACCUUGGGCUCGGCCGGCCGGUCCGUCUCACCACGUGUACUGGCCUGGCCGGGCCUUUCCCUCUGUGGAACCCCAUGCCCUUCACUGGGUGUGGCGGGGAAACAGGACUUUUACUUUGAAAAAAUUAGAGUGCUCCAGGCAGGCCUAUGCUCGAAUACAUUAGCAUGGAAUAAUAAAAUAGGACGUGUGGUUCUAUUUUGUUGGUUUCUAGGACCGCCGUAAUGAUUAAUAGGGACAGUCGGGGGCAUCAGUAUUCAAUUGUCAGAGGUGAAAUUCUUGGAUUUAUUGAAGACUAACUACUGCGAAAGCAUUUGCCAAGGAUGUUUUCAUUAAUCAGGAACGAAAGUUAGGGGAUCGAAGACGAUCAGAUACCGUCGUAGUCUUAACCAUAAACUAUGCCGACUAGGGAUCGGACGAUGUUAUUUUUUGACGCGUUCGGCACCUUACGAGAAAUCAAAGUGCUUGGGCUCCAGGGGGAGUAUGGUCGCAAGGCUGAAA
rnacentral:rRNA from 1 species